AGAGUUUGAUCCUGGCUCAGGACCACCUUUGGCGGCCUGCCUAAUACAUGCAAGUCGAACGCACGGAGGAAGAACUUGUUCUUCCGAUGUGAGUGGCGCCCGGGUGAGUAACACGUGGGAAACCUACCCUUCAGCGGGGGAUAACCAUCGGAAACGAUGACUAAUACCGCAUAGACGACAGAGUCGCAUGACUCAAUCGGGAAAGACGGCUUCGGCUGUCACUGAAGGAUGGUCCCGCGCUGCAUUAGCUAGUUGGUAAGGUAACGGCUUACCAAGGCGAUGAUGCAUAGCCGACCUGAGAGGGUGAUCGGCCACAUUGGGACUGAGACACGGCCCAAACUCCUACGGGAGGCAGCAGUGGGGAAUCUUCCGCAAUGGACGAAAGUCUGACGGAGCAACGCCGCGUGAGUGAUGACGGUCUUCGGAUUGUAAAGCUCUGUCUUUAGGGCGAAAGGCCUUCUUGCGAACAGUUAGAAGGAUUGACGGUACCGGAAUAGAAAGCCACGGCUAACUACGUGCCAGCAGCCGCGGUAAUACGUAGGGUGCAAGCGUUAUCCGGAAUUAUUGGGCGUAAAGCGAGCGCAGGCGGUUUUUUAAGUCUGAUGUGAAAGCCCUCGGCUUAACCGAGGAAGUGCAUCGGAAACUGGGAAACUUGAGUGCAGAAGAGGACAGUGGAACUCCAUGUGUAGCGGUGAAAUGCGUAGAUAUAUGGAAGAACACCAGUGGCGAAGGCGGCUGUCUGGUCUGUAACUGACGCUGAGGCUCGAAAGCCAGGGGAGCGAACGGGAUUAGAUACCCCGGUAGUCCUGGCCGUAAACGAUGGGUACUAGGUGUAGGAGGUAUCGACCCCUUCUGUGCCGGAGUUAACGCAAUAAGUACCCCGCCUGGGGAGUACGACCCGCAAGGUUGAAACUCAAAGGAAUUGACGGGGGCCCGCACAAGCGGUGGAGUAUGUGGUUUAAUUCGAUGCAACGCGAAGAACCUUACCUGGGCUUGACAUGUUCCCGACGAUCUAGAAAUAUGUAAUAUGUCCCUUCGGGGAUAGCAGAAUGACAGGUGGUGCAUGGUUGUCGUCAGCUCGUGUCGUGAGAUGUUGGGUUAAGUCCCGCAACGAGCGCAACCCCUACGUCCAGUUGCCAUCAUUAAGUUGGGCACUCUGGAGGAACUGCCGGUGACAAACCGGAGGAAGGUGGGGAUGACGUCAAAUCAUCAUGCCCCUUAUGUCCUGGGCUACACACGUGCUACAAUGGACGGUACAGAGGGUUGCCAAACCGUGAGGUGGAGCUAAUCCCAAAAAGCCGUUCUCAGUUCGGAUGUAGUCUGCAACUCGACUACAUGAAGUCGGAAUCGCUAGUAAUCGCGAGUCAGCAUAUCGCGGUGAAUGCGUUCCCGGGCCUUGCACUCACCGCCCGUCA
rnacentral:rRNA from 1 species